AUUGAACGCUGGCGGCAGGCUUAACACAUGCAAGUCGAGCGGAGAUGAGGUGCUUGCACCUUAUCUUAGCGGCGGACGGGUGAGUAAUGCUUAGGAAUCUGCCUAUUAGUGGGGGACAACAUUCUGAAAGGAAUGCUAAUACCGCAUACGUCCUACAGGAGAAAGCAGGGGAUCUUCGGACCUUGCGCUAAUAGAUGAGCCUAAGUCGGAUUAGCUAGUUGGUGGGGUAAAGGCCUACCAAGGCGACGAUCUGUAGCGGGUCUGAGAGGAUGAUCCGCCACACUGGGACUGAGACACGGCCCAGACUCCUACGGGAGGCAGCAGUGGGGAAUAUUGGACAAUGGGGGGAACCCUGAUCCAGCCAUGCCGCGUGUGUGAAGAAGGCCUUAUGGUUGUAAAGCACUUUAAGCGAGGAGGAGGCUACUGAGACUAAUACUCUUGGAUAGUGGACGUUACUCGCAGAAUAAGCACCGGCUAACUCUGUGCCAGCAGCCGCCGUAA
rnacentral:rRNA from 1 species